GACGAACCGUGCAAACGUUAUUCGGAAUCACUGGGCUUAAAGCGCGUGUAGGCGGUCUGGCGCGUCCGUCGCUGAAAGCCCCCGGCUCAACCGGGGAAGUGGCGUGGAUACGGCCGGACUGGAGGGGGGUAGGGGGAGCUGGAACUUCCGGUGGAGCGGUGAAAUGCGUUGAGAUCGGAAGGAACGCCCGUGGCGAAAGCGGGCUCCUGGACCCCACCUGACGCUGAGACGCGAAAGCCAGGGGAGCGAACGGG
rnacentral:rRNA from 1 species